rnacentral:rRNA from 1 species
AUGGCUCUAGUAACGGCGAGUGAAGCAGCCAAAGCUCAAAUUUGAAAGCUCCUAACAAGGCGCAUUGUAAUUUGAAGAUGGUAUUCUGAAUUAGUCCUUUACCUCAGUUCCUUGGAACAGGACGCCAUAGAGGGUGAGAGCCCCGUGUGGAAUUGGUCACUAAUUCGUGUAGUUUACCUUCAAAGAGUCGAGUUGUUUGGGAAUGCAGCUCUAAGUGGGUGGUAAAUUCCAUCUAAAGCUAAAUAUUGGCGAGAGACCGAUAGCGAACAAGUACUGUGAAGGAAAGAUGAAAAGAACUUUGAAAAGAGAGUGAAAAAGUACGUGAAAUUGUUGAAAGGGAAGGGAAUUAGACUAGACUUGGAUUUCUGUUAUCAGCAGUCUCUCGGGACUGUGCACUAGCAGUUUUCUAGGCCAGGAUCUGUUUGGAGGCCAGGAUAAAACCCAAAGAAUGUGGCUCCUCGGAGUGUUAUAGCUUUGGUUGAAUACUGGCAUUCUGGACAGAGGACCGCGCUUCGUGCUAGGAUCCUGGCGUAAUAGUCUUAUUCCACCCGUCUUGAAACACGGACCAAGGAGUCUAACGUCUAUGCGAGUGUUUGGGUGUUAAACCCGUACGCGAAGUGAAAGCGAGUAGGUUGGAGCCAUUUGGCGCACAAUCAACCGAUCCUGAAGUCUUCUGAUGGAUUUGAGUAGAGCAUAGCUGUUGGGACCCGAAAGAUGGUGAACUAUGCCUGAAUAGGGUGAAGCCAGAGGAAACUCUGGUGGAGGCUCGUAGCGGUUCUGACGUUCAAAUCGAUCGUCAAAUUUGGGUAUAGGGGCGAAAGACUAAUCGAACCAUCUAGUAGCUGGUUCCUGCCGA